UUGGAGGGCAAGUCUGGUGCCAGCAGCCGCGGUAAUUCCAGCUCCAAUAGCGUAUAUUAAAGUUGUUGCAGUUAAAAAGCUCGUAGUUGAAUUUCGGGAUCAAUGUUUCGGUCAUGCCGUUGGUAUGUACUGAUAUUAUUGAUUUCUCACCUUCUAAAGAACCGUAAUGCCAUUAAUUUGGUGUCACGGGGAAUUAGGACUGUUACCUUGAAAAAAUUAGAGUGUUUAAAGCAAGCUAACGCCUGAAUACAUUAGCAUGGAAUAAUGAAAUAGGACGUUCGAUCCUAUUUUGUUGGUUUCUAGGAUUGACGUAAUGAUUAAUAGGGUUAGUUGGGGGCAUUAGUAUUCAAUUGUCAGAGGUGAAAUUCUUGGAUUUAUUGAAGACUAACUACUGCGAAAGCAUUUGCCAAGGAUGUUUUCACUAAUCAAGAACGAAAGUUAGGGGAUCGAAGACGAUCAGAUACCGUCGUAGUCUUAACCAUAAACUAUGCCGACUAGGAAUCAGACGAUGUUAGUUUUUUAAUGACUCGUUUGGCACCUUACGGGAAACCAAAGUGUUUGGGUUC
rnacentral:rRNA from 1 species